AGAGUUUGAUCAUGGCUCAGAUUGAACGCUGGCGGGAUGCUUUACACAUGCAAGUCGAACGGCAACGCGGACUUCGGUCUGGCGGCGAGUGGCGAACGGGUGAGUAAUAUAUCGGAACGUGCCCAAUAGAGGGGGAUAACUACGCGAAAGCGUGGCUAAUACCGCAUAAGCCCUAAGGGGGAAAGCGGGGGAUCUUCGGACCUCGCACUAAUGGAGCGGCUGAUAUCGGAUUAGCUAGUUGGUGGGGUAAAGGCCUACCAAGGCGACGAUCCGUAGCUGGUUUGAGAGGACGACCAGCCACACUGGGACUGAGACACGGCCCAGACUCCUACGGGAGGCAGCAGUGGGGAAUUUUGGACAAUGGGGGCAACCCUGAUCCAGCCAUCCCGCGUGUGUGAUGAAGGCCUUCGGGUUGUAAAGCACUUUAGGCAGGGAAGAAACGUCUUGGGCGAAUAGUCUAGGAAACUGACGGUACCUGCAGAAUAAGCACCGGCUAACUACGUGCCAGCAGCCGCGGUAAUACGUAGGGUGCAAGCGUUAAUCGGAAUUACUGGGCGUAAAGGGUGCGUAGGCGGUUCAGAAAGCAAGAUGUGAAAUCCCUGGGCUUAACCUAGGAACUGCAUUUUGAACUUCUGAGCUAGAGUGUGUCAGAGGGGGGUGGAAUUCCACGUGUAGCAGUGAAAUGCGUAGAGAUGUGGAGGAACACCGAUGGCGAAGGCAGCCCCCUGGGAUAACACUGACGCUGAGGCACGAAAGCGUGGGUAGCAAACAGGAUUAGAUACCCUGGUAGUCCACGCCCUAAACGAUGUCAACUAGCUGUUGGGUUUUUCGGAACUUGGUAGCGCAGCUAACGCGAGAAGUUGACCGCCUGGGGAGUACGGUCGCAAGAUUAAAACUCAAAGGAAUUGACGGGGACCCGCACAAGCGGUGGAUGAUGUGGAUUAAUUCGAUGCUACGCGAAGAACCUUACCUACCCUUGACAUGUCUGGAAUCCUGAAGAGAUUUAGGAGUGCUCGCAAGAGAACCGGAACACAGGUGCUGCAUGGCUGUCGUCAGCUCGUGUCGUGAGAUGUUGGGUUAAGUCCCGCAACGAGCGCAACCCUUAUCAUUAGUUGCUACGCAAGGGCACUCUAAUGAGACUGCCGGUGACAAACCGGAGGAAGGUGGGGAUGACGUCAAGUCCUCAUGGCCCUUAUGGGUAGGGCUUCACACGUCAUACAAUGGUCGGGACAGAGGGUCGCCAACCCGCGAGGGGGAGCCAAUCCAUGAAACCCGAUCGUAGUCCGGAUCGCAGUCUGCAACUCGACUGCGUGAAGUCGGAAUCGCUAGUAAUCGCGGAUCAGAAUGUCGCGGUGAAUACGUUCCCGGGUCUUGUACACACCGCCCGUCACAUCAUGGGAGUGGGUUUUACCAGAAGUAGUUAGCCUAACCGACCUCGUAAGGGGAAGGAGGGCGAUUACCACGGUAGGAUUCAUGACUGGGAUGAAGUCGUAACAAGGUA
rnacentral:rRNA from 1 species